rnacentral:rRNA from 1 species
UACGUAGGGUGCAAGCGUUAAUCGGAAUUACUGGGCGUAAAGCGUGCGCAGGCGGCUUUGCAAGACAGAUGUGAAAUCCCCGGGCUCAACCUGGGAACUGCAUUUGUGACUGCAAAGCUAGAGUGCGGCAGAGGGGGAUGGAAUUCCGCGUGUAGCAGUGAAAUGCGUAGAUAUGCGGAGGAACACCGAUGGCGAAGGCAAUCCCCUGGGCCUGCACUGACGCUCAUGCACGAAAGCGUGGGGAGCAAAC